GCAAGAUUAAAACUCAAAGGAAUAGACGGGGACCCACACAAGCAGUGGAUCACGUGGUUUAAUUCGACAAUAAACGGGGAAUCUCACCCAGACUUGACAUCCUGAGAAUCUUUGAGAAAUCAGAGAGUGCCUUUACGGGAACUCAGUGACAGGUGCUGCAUGGUUGUCGUCAGCUCGUGCCUUGAGGUGUUCGGUUAAGUCCGUUAACGAGCGCAACCCAUGUCCUUAGUUACUAUGUCUAAGGAGACUGCCUUGGUUAACAAGGAGGAAGGUGUGGAUGACGUCAAAUCAGCAUGGCUUUUACGUCUGGGGCUACACACAUGAUACAAUGGUAUGUACAAAGAGCAGCAAUAUCGCGAGAUGGAGCCAAUCUUCAAAGCAUAUCUCAGUCCGGAUUGGAGUCUGAAACUCGACUCCAUGAAGUUGGAAUUGCUAGUAAUCGUGAAUCAGAUAUGUCACGGUGAAUGUGUUCCUGGGUCUUGUA
rnacentral:rRNA from 1 species